AUUUACCUGUUAACGAUAGAGUUUGACGAAAAUGGUCAAACUAUAAAAAAUUACGUAAAUUCGUCUUCAAACAUCUGAUUUAUAUUAAAAAAAGGAAAAAUAAAUAUGGACGAAACAAUUUCAUACAGACGACGCAGAUACAGCUUUAUCAUGAAAUCAAGAAAUAACACAAACAGAAAACGAAGAUCGUUCCUGGCAGUUGUCUCGUAAUUUGGACUUGUAAAUGUGUUCCUUAUUUCCCAUAAUUCGCUAUAAGCGUGUUCGCUGUAACCAUAGAAUAAAAAAGGGGAACAUCGAGACAUUUGAAAUUGUACCCGAUAGAUUUGGACGAUUCUUGGAUAUUGGAAUUGAACUUUAAGGCUAGUUAAAUCUUUUAAG
rnacentral:lncRNA from 1 species